rnacentral:rRNA from 1 species
GUGGGGAAUAUUGCACAAUGGGCGAAAGCCUGAUGCAGCAACGCCGCGUGAAGGAAGAAGGCCCUUGGGUCGUAAACUUCUGUUCUAAGGGAAGAUAAUGACGGUACCUUAGGAGCAAGUCCCGGCUAACUACGUGCCAGCAGCCGCGGUAAUACGUAGGGGGCGAGCGUUAUCCGGAAUUAUUGGGCGUAAAGAGUACGUAGGUGGUUAUCUAAGCGAGGGGUUUAAGGCAAUAGCUCAACUAUUGUUUGCCCCGCGAACUGGGUGACUUGAGUGCUGUAGAGGAAAGCGGAAUUCCUAGUGUAGCGGUGAAAUGCGUAGAUAUUAGGAGGAACAUCAGUGGCGAAGGCGGCUUUCUGGACAGUAACUGACACUGAGGUACGAAAGUGUGGGGAGCAAACAGGAUUAGAAACCCUAGUAGUCC